rnacentral:rRNA from 1 species
GAUCAUGGCUCAGGAUGAACGCUAGCUACAGGCUUAACACAUACAAGUCGAGGGGCAGCAUGGUCUUAGCUUGCUAAGGCCGAUGGCGACCGGCGCACGGGUGAGUAACACGUAUCCAACCUGCCGUCUACUCUUGGACAGCCUUCUGAAAGGAAGGUUAAUACAAGAUGGCAUCAUGAGUCCGCAUGUUCACAUGAUUAAAGGUAUUCCGGUAGACGAUGGGG